rnacentral:rRNA from 1 species
UACGUAGGGUGCGAGCGUUAAUCGGAAUUACUGGGCGUAAAGCGUGCGCAGGCGGUUUUGUAAGACAGAUGUGAAAGCCCCGGGCUUAACCUGGGAAUGGCAUUUGGGACUGCAAGGCUGGAGUGUGGCAGAGGAGACUGGAAUUCCUGGUGUAGCAGUGAAAUGCGUAGAUAUCAGGAGGAACACCGAUGGCGAAGGCAGGUCUCUGGGCUGACACUGACGCUCAUGCACGAAAGCGUGGGGAGCAAACAGG